rnacentral:rRNA from 1 species
UAAGCACCGCUACUGUGCCGCAUCGGUCACGUUCCGAAUCACUGGUUUAAGGGUGCGAGGCGGCGAGCAUUGUGAAUCCCGUACCGCGGUGACUCCUGAAUCGGUGAGGCGGCGAUGUGAUGUGGGGAAAUGCUUAUAUAUAGACACCAUUGCGAAGGCAGCUGCUGGGUUUGACGCUGAGGCACAAAGCGGGGGAGCAAACAGGAUUAAUACCCUGGUAGUCCCGCCCUAACUGUUUACUUGCUGUUCCGUGUGGCGGAAAGCGCUGAGAAACACCUGGGGGUACGCCGCAACGGUGAAACUCAAAGGCACAAGUUUAUCGCGGAGAACUUACCUGGCUAGAGAGAAAGCGCAGGUCUGCAUGGCUUUCAGCUCGUGUCGUGAGAUGUGGGUUAAGUCCCCAGCGACGCACCCCCGCUCCAAUUGCACGGACUUUGGCGGACUGCCGGC